rnacentral:rRNA from 1 species
AUCUAGGCUCUUGCAUCGAUGAAGAACGUAGCGAAAUGCGAUACUUGGUGUGAAUUGCAGAAUCCCGUGAACCAUCGAGUCUUUGAACGCAAGUUGCGCCCGAUGCCAUUAGGUUGAGGGCACGUCUGCCUGGGUGUCACAUAUCGAAGCCUCCUUCCAAUAUC